GAUGAACGCUGGCGGCAUGCCUAACACAUGCAAGUCGAACGGAGCUAUGAUGGAGCUUGCUUUUUAUAGCUUAGUGGCGGACGGGUGAGUAACGCGUGAGGAAUCUGCCCUCGAGUGGGGAAUAACACCGAGAAAUCGGUGCUAAUACCGCAUAACGUCUUUGGAUCGCAUGUUCUGAAGACCAAAGGAUUUAUUCGCUUGAGGAUGAUCUCGCGUCCGAUUAGUUAGUUGGUGAGGUAACGGCUCACCAAGACCGCGAUCGGUAGCCGAACUGAGAGGUUGAUCGGCCACAUUGGGACUGAGACACGGCCCAGACUCC
rnacentral:rRNA from 1 species